GUGAGUGGGAAUGGGAGCGGGAGUC
rnacentral:piRNA from 1 species